CUCUGAAAGUUAUCACAGAAGCAAAUCAGAGUCAGAGACAGAGACAGAGACAGAGACAGAGACAGAGACAGACACAGAGACAAAGACAAAGACAAAGACAAAGACAGAGUCAACAAGUUGGAGUCGUUAUCGUCUUGAAUUGAUGUAACAAUCUGCUUUUUAAAAUCUGUUGAAGAAACUAGUUUGAAUGUUUGAAUUUCUUUGUCUUUGAUGUCAAACUGAAACGAGUCUCUUCUGCUCCGAUCAUUGAUCUGUGAGACUGACAGAGGGCCCAACAAUAACAGAGGGCCCACCUCUAACAGGAGCCCCCCCACCAACAGGAGGCCAACCACUGACAGAGGGCCCACCUCUAACAGAAGACCCACCACUAACAGAGGGCCAACCUCUAACAGAAGUUCCACCACUAACAGAGGGCCCACCUCUAACAGAGGGGCCACCUCUAACAGAAGACCCACCUCUAACAGAGGGGCCACGACUAACAGGAUUCCCACCACUAACAGAGGGCCCACCUCUAACAGAAGACCCACCUCUAACAGAGGGGCCACGACUAACAGGAGUCCCACCACUAACAGAGGGCCCACCUCUAACAGAGGGGCCACUUCUAACAGAAGUCCCACCACUAACAGAGGGCCCACCUCUAACAGAAGACCCACCACUAACAGAGGGCCCACCACUGACAGAGGAGCCCACCACUAACAGAGGGCCCACCACUAACAGAAGUCUCACCACUAACAGAAGUCCCACCACUGACAGAGGAGCCCACCACUAACAGAGGGCCCACCACUAACAGAGGGCCCAACACUAACAGAGGGCCCACCACUAACAGGAGGCCCACCACUAUCAGAAGGCUCACCUCUAACAGAGGGCCCACCACUAACAGAGGGCCCACCACUAACAGAAGGCCCACCUCUAACAGAGGGCCCACCACUAACAGAAGUCCCACCUCUAAGAGAAGUUCCACGACUGACAGAGGGCCCACCACUUGACUAACAGAGGGCCCACCUCUAACAGAAAUCCCACCUCUAACAGAGGGCCCACCUCUAACAGAGGGGCCACCUCUAACAGAAGUCCCACCACUAACAGAAGUCCCACCACUAACAGAGGGCCCACCACUUACAGAGGGGCCACCUCUAACAGAAGACCCACCUCUAACAGAGGGGCCACCUCUAACAGAAGACCCACCUCUAACAGAGGGGCCAUCACUAACAGAAGUCCCACCACUAACAGAGGCCCCACCACUUCACUGACAGAGGACCCACCUCUAACAGAAGACCCACCCAAAAACAGAGGGCCCACCUCUAACAGAAGACCCACCAAAAACAGAGGGCCCACCACUAACAGAAGUCCCACCACUGACAGAGGGGCCACCUCUAACAGAGGGCCCACCACUAACAGAAGUCCCACCACUGACAGAGGGGCCACCUCUAACAGAAGUCCCACCACUGACAGAGGCCCCAUCACUUGACUAACAGAGGGCCCACCUCUAACAGCAGUCUCACCACUAACAGAGGGGCCACCUCUAACAGAGGGCCCACCACUUCACUGACAGAGGGCCGAUCACUAACAGAAGUCCCAUCUCUAACAGAAGUCUCACCACUGACAGAGGGCCAACCUCUAACAGAAAUCCACCUUUAACAGAAGACCCACCUCUAACAGAGGGGCCACGACUAACAGAGGGCCCACCUCUAACAGAGGGGCCACCUCUAACAGAAGUCCCACCACUAACAGAGGGCCCACCUCUAACAGAAGACCCACCACUAACAGAGGGCCCACCACUUCACUGACAGAGGACCCACCUCUAACAGAGGGCCCACCUCUAACAGAGGGCCCACCUCUAACAGAGGGCCCACCUCUAACAGAAGACCCACCACUAACAGAGGGCCCACCACUUCACUGACAGAGGACCCACCUCUAACAGAGGGCCCACCUCUAACAGAGGGCCCACCUCUAACAGAAGACCCACCACUAACAGAGGGCCCACCACUUCACUGACAGAGGACCCACCUCUAACAGAGGGCCCACCUCUAACAGAGGGGCCACCUCUAACAAAAGUCCCACCUCUAACAGAAGUCCCACCACUAACAGAGGGCCCACCUCUAACAGAAGUCUCACCACUAACAGAAGUCCCACCACUGACAGAGGAGCCCACCACUAACAGAGGGCCCACCACUAACAGAGGGCCC
ensembl:lncRNA